rnacentral:rRNA from 1 species
GCGGANGGAUCAUUACCGAGUCUAAACAACUCAUCAACCCUGUGAACAUACCUAAAACGUUGCUUCGGCGGGAACAGACGGCCCCGUAAAACGGGCCGCCCCCGCCAGAGGACCCCUAACUCUGUUGCUAUAUGUAUCUUCUGAGUAAACAAGCAAAUAAAUUAAAACUUUCAACAACGGAUCUCUUGGCUCUGGCAUCGAUGAAGAACGCAGCGAAAUGCGAUAAGUAAUGUGAAUUGCAGAAUUCAGUGAAUCAUCGAAUCUUUGAACGCACAUUGCGCCCGCCAGUAUUCUGGCGGGCAUGCCUGUUCGAGCGUCAUUACAACCCUCAGGCCCCCGGGCCUGGCGUUGGGGAUCGGCGAGGCGCCCCCUGUGGGCACGCGCCGUCCCCCAAAUACAGUGGCGGUCCCGCCGCAGCUUCCAUUGCGUAGUAGCUAACACCUCGCAACUGGAGAGCGGCGCGGCCAUGCCGUAAAACACCCAACUUCUGAAUGUUGACCUCGAAUCAGGUAG